rnacentral:rRNA from 1 species
GACGAACGCUGGCGGCGUGCCUAAUACAUGCAAGUAGAACGCUGAAGACUUUAGCUUGCUAAAGUUGGAAGAGUUGCGAACGGGUGAGUAACGCGUAGGUAACCUGCCUACUAGCGGGGGAUAACUAUUGGAAACGAUAGCUAAUACCGCAUAACAGCUUUUAACUCAUGUUAGGAGCUUGAAAGGUGCAAUUGCAUCACUAGUAGAUGGACCUGCGUUGUAUUAGCUAGUUGGUGAGGUAACGGCUCACCAAGGCGACGAUACAUAGCCGACCGGAGAGGGUGAUCGGACACACUGGGACUGAGACACGGCCCAGACUCCUACGGGAGGCAGCAGUAGGGAAUCUUCGGCAAUGGGGGCAACCCUGACCGAGCAACGCCGCGUGAGUGAAGAAGGUUUUCGGAUCGUAAAGCUCUGUUGUAAGAGAAGAACGUGUGUGAGAGUGGAAAGUUCACACAGUGACGGUAACUUACCAGAAAGGGACGGCUAACUACGUGCCAGCCGCCGCAGUAA